rnacentral:tRNA from 1 species
CAGAAAAUAUAUCAAUGGGAAGAUUAUUGAUUUUGGGCGUCAAAGGUUAUGAGUUCAAGUCUCAUGUUUCUGA